rnacentral:rRNA from 1 species
UACGUAGGGUGCAAGCGUUGUCCGGAAUUAUUGGGCGUAAAGAGCUUGUAGGUGGUUUGUCGCGCCUGCUGUGAAAAUCCGAGGCUCAACCUCGGACUUGCAGUGGGUACGGGCAGACUAGAGUGUGGUAGGGGAGACUGGAAUUCCUGGUGUAGCGGUGGAAUGCGCAGAUAUCAGGAGGAACACCGAUGGCGAAGGCAGGUCUCUGGGCCAUUACUGACACUGAGAAGCGAAAGCAUGGGGAGCGAACAGG